UGCCAGACUCCUACGGGAGGCAGCAGUGAGGAAUAUUGGUCAAUGGUCGGGAGACUGAACCAGCCAAGCCGCGUGAGGGAGGAAGGUACAGAGUAUCGUAAACCUCUUUUGUCAGGGAACAAAGGCGGGGACGUGUCCCCGGAUGAGUGUACCUGAAGAAAAAGCAUCGGCUAACUCCGUGCCAGCAGCCGCGGUAAUACGUAGGGGGCAAGCGUUAUCCGGAUUUACUGGGUGUAAAGGGAGCGUAGACGGCAUAGCAAGUCUGAAGUGAAAGCCCAAGGCUCAACCAUGGGACUGCUUUGGAAACUGUUAAGCUAGAGUGCUGGAGAGGUAAGCGGAAUUCCUAGUGUAGCGGUGAAAUGCGUAGAUAUUAGGAAGAACACCAGUGGCGAAGGCGGCUUACUGGACAGUAACUGACGUUGAGGCUCGAAAGCGUGGGGAGCAAACAGGAUUAGAUACCCGCGUA
rnacentral:rRNA from 1 species